rnacentral:lncRNA from 1 species
UCCCUCAGUGGGAGGCCGUGUAAGGUACCGGACUUCUAAAAUUAGGAAGUUACGGUGUACAUUUGGUUUGAAAGCCAUUUGAAUGAUUCCGGUAAGGUUGCGGUGGAAUGUAAUAUACCGGAUUUUAAAUAUAAAAAUAAAAAUAAAUAAAAAUAGUGUGAGAUACUAUUUUUAUUGGAUUUAGAUGAGUAAAAUAUAAGUCAGAAGUGACUUGUGCUGAAAUCGGAAUGAAAACAGAAGAUCUAGAAUUUUCUGUUGGAAACGGGACAGAUAAAUAAGCAGAAAAUGCACAGUCUCAGAAAAUUAUAAAAAUUAAAGGAUAAGU